UACGUAGGUGGCGAGCGUUAUCCGGAUUUAUUGGGUUUAAAGGGUGCGUAGGUUGUUUUAUAAGUUAGCGGUGAAAUACCGAUGCUCAACAUCGGGGCUGCCGCUAAUACUGUAGGACUAGAGAUCGGAUGCAGCAGGCGGAAUGUGUAGUGUAGCGGUGAAAUGCAUAGAUAUCGCGCAGAACUCCGAUUGCGAAGGCAGCAUGCCGGCUCCACACUGACGCUGAGGCACGAAAGCGUGGGUAUCGAACAGG
rnacentral:rRNA from 1 species